rnacentral:lncRNA from 1 species
AUAUGGCUCCCCAGCCUGCAUCAGUUCAAACUAAUGUUUCAGCUCCACUCACAUUCAUGGGAAACCGACCACUGCCUGCUGAGAGCUCUACCGGAUGGUCAAACUGGUCCACCAGCUCCACAACCAGGUGUUGCGUCCAUGCCACCACCUUCAAAUAUAUCAACGGCGAAUAUGGUGUCUUCUCUAAACCAUCCUAUUGCAGCACCAAGUUUUAUUUCUUUUCCACGGCUGCAUGGCUGGCUGUCGUCGGCUCGGGGGGGGGGGGGGGGGGGGUGGGGUUUAUACACGGGGAAUUCUUGGUGCUGCAUGGCUGGCUGUCGUCGGCUCGGGGGGGUGGGGUUUAUACACUAACAAAGAUUCAUGGUGAUGCAUGCCUGUCGUCAGCUCGUGUCGUGGGGACAAACAGAGUUCAGGGGCCCCUCUCAAAUAUUCCGUGAGACGCCACUAUGGCAGAGGGUCGACAAAAUCAACGUCAGACUUAAAUGCAUUUAUUCAUGUUAAUUGUUUUGCUCAUGCGCAUGCAAAAGACCGCCUAAAGAUCAUAUGUUUGGGUGAGAGGGACAUCAAAGUUCCAAAGAAUUAAGGUCAAAUUAGCAAGGAAUGAACUACAAACUACUAAAGGAGAAAAUAACUGCACUUCGUAGGUAUUAUAAAGGUUUGUGAAUGAAAGUAUCAGUCAUUCAUAACUCCUAUGCCUUUUCUAGUCCAUUCAAGACUAACUUGACAUCAUUAAUCCCUUGAAAUAAGUUCAUUACCCCAAUCAUUAAAAGGGUGUCAAAUACGAAUACAAAAAUGAACUCAAAUAUUUUCAUAGUCACCAUGUAGAAAGAGAAAUAGUUCUCAUAGAAGACAACAAUAAAGUUGGAAAUGAUAUCAUAUAAUAUAGCUGAUUGAAUCUGAAAGCAAAUCUUUCUCCUAUCAUACGUUGUUCCCAUAUCAGAGGGCUUCAAGUCACUGUUACUGCCCAUACCAUUGCCAUACUCUACAAAUGGUGAGGAUUUAAUGCAUUUGCGCACGGCAAUUUUUAAUGACAAUUUUAAGAACGCAGUGAAGUAUUUAAGGCUUGCUCUUCACUUCACAUCCCCCAGUAGGCCUGGCAUUUUGGACCCAACUCGUUAAUAUUUGUAUUUGGGUGGAUGCUUAACAGGUCGGGUCGCUAACGGGUGAACUCGUUAACAACCCGUUAAAUAACGGGUCACUUUGGGUCAAACCGUUAGACCCGUUAGGACCCAUUAACACCCAUUAGUUGAGGAUAUUUUAGUAAUUUUAGUAAACUCUUAAUAACAAAAAAUAAAAUUUAUGCAAAAAAAAAAAUAAUAAUAAUAAUAAUUGUUAACGGGUGAAACGGGUGACCCGUUAGCUUAACAGGUCGGGUUCGGUGACCCGUUAGCUUAACGGGUUGGGUUCGGAUGACCCGUUAACUUAACGGGUUGGGUUGAACCCGACCUAAACCCAAUAAACCUGACCCGUUUACAUAUCUAUCCCCCAGUACUGCUGGCCUUGCAUCCUUUGGUACAGGUAAACAUUUGUUCUAGUGAAAUAAUGUACUUGCAAGGAUUGAUAUUUUUAUAUAGUAAAAUAAAAAUUAAUAGAGAAGGGAAGAGGAGAUCACGUCAUACUUCAGAAAUACCUGAAGUCUUCAUCUUGCCCUGUUCUAACUUGAGCAAUAAUAUUGAGAGUACUCAAGCUCGGGCAAAAGCAAAUCACCUACUUGUUGAACCAUCUAUCAAAGUUAGUUAUAAAUGUGUAAUUAAUUGGUCCAACAAAAUUGACGAAGACAUAUAAACAGAGAAAAAUCGUUGAAUCUUAUAUUACCUGCAAUGAACGGAGAAAUAAUUUGGUAUAAAAAUCUGAUAAGAAUCUAAUUUCACAAAACUUCAAUUCGGGCCUAAACAAAGUGUGAAGGGUGGCAGAAGGGGAAUUUUAUGGGCGACAGGAGGAUGAAUCUUAUACCAUUUGCACCAGAAGCAAACAAAAGAGCAGAACGGGGAUUUUAUGGGGACAGGAUAAGCAAA